rnacentral:snRNA from 1 species
AUACCUUUCUCGGCCUUUUGGCUAAGAUCAAGUGUAGUAUCUGUUCUUAUCAGUUUAAUAUCUGAUAUGUGGGCCAUCGGCUCACACGAUAUUAACUCUAUUUUUUAAGGGAGAAGGCCCGCUAGGAUAGCUUGCUAUCUGUCGGUAAGGAAUAAAAGUGAACGCAGAAAUAUUAAAGGCAGAUUCUUUCUUUAACUUCCU